rnacentral:ncRNA from 1 species
AAAAAGGCUGGGAAAGGGAACAGUAGAUUGGCGAAUCCUUUCAGAGAGCAGAAUCCCUGGGCUGAAAGAUUCUGUAUGCGAUAGCUUUUCGAACCCGCCCUGGAGCUUGGGACUGAAAAUGAAGUAAGUCCUUACGGGUUCUGGACCGUUAUCUCCAGAUAAAGGGAAUCCCAUAGGGGGUUAAUUAGAGUGGUACCGCGGAAAUAUAACCUUUCGUCUCUAUA